AACGAACGCUGGCGGCAUGCCUAACACAUGCAAGUCGAACGAGAUCUUCGGGUCUAGUGGCGCACGGGUGCGUAACGCGUGAGAAUCUGCCCUUUGGUUCGGAAUAACAGUUGGAAACGACUGCUAAUACCGGAUGAUGACGAAAGUCCAAAGAUUUAUCGCCAGAGGAUUAGCCCGCGUAGGAUUAGCUAGUUGGUGUGGUAAAGGCGCACCAAGGCGACGAUCCUUAGCUGGUCUGAGAGGAUGAGCAGCCAAACUGGGACUGAGACACGGCCCAGACUCUUACUGGAGGAAGCAGUGGGGAAUAUUGGACAAUGGGCGAAAGCCUGAUCAAGAAAUGCCGCGUAAGGGAUGAAGGCCUUAGGGUUGUAAAGCUCUUUUACCCGGGAGGAUAAUGACAGUACCGGGAGAAUAAGCUCCGGCUAACUCCGUGCCAGCAGCCGCGGUAA
rnacentral:rRNA from 1 species